UACGUAGGGUGCAAGCGUUGCCCGGAUUUAUUGGGCGUAAAGGGCGCGUAGGCGGCUCUGCACGUUCGUUGUGAAAUCGCCCGGCUCAACUGGGCGGGUCAGCGGAUACGGCAGAGCUUGAGCAAGCUAGGGGGCAAUGGAAUUCCCGGUGUAGUGGUGGAAUGCGUAGAUAUCGGGAGGAACACCAGUGGCGAAGGCGGUUGCCUGGGGCUUUGCUGACGCUGAUGCGCGAAAGCGUGGGAGCGAGUCCGG
rnacentral:rRNA from 1 species